UACGUAGGGGGCUAGCGUUGUCCGGAUUUAUUGGGCGUAAAGAGCGUGUAGGCGGCCUGGCAGGUCAGCUGUGAAAACUCGAGGCUCAACCUCGAGACGUCGGUUGAAACCACCUGGCUAGAGUCCGGAAGAGGAGAGUGGAAUUCCCGGUGUAGCGGUGAAAUGCGCAGAUAUCGGGAAGAACACCCGUGGCGAAGGCGGCUCUCUGGGACGGUACUGACGCUGAGACGCGAAAGCGUGGGGAGCGAACAGG
rnacentral:rRNA from 1 species